GGAGUUAGCCGGUGCUUCUUCUGUGAGUGAUGUCCUUCCUGCCGGCUAUUAACCCGCAGGCCUUCUUCCUCACUGAAAGUGCUUUACAACCCGAAGGCCUUCUUCACACACGCGGCAUGGCUGGAUCAGGGUUGCCCCCAUUGUCCAAUAUUCCCCACUGCUGCCUCCCGUAGGAGUCUGGGCCGUGUCUCAGUCCCAGUGUGGCUGAUCAUCCUCUCAGACCAGCUACGGAUCGUCGCCUUGGUGAGCCGUUACCUCACCAACCAGCUAAUCCGACAUAGGCUCAUCCGAUAGCGCGAGGCCCGAAGGUCCCCCGCUUUCCCCCGUAGGGCGUAUGCGGUAUUAGCCUGGGUUUCCCCAGGUUAUCCCCCACUACCGGGCAGAUUCCUAUGCAUUACUCACCCGUCCGCCGCUCGCCACCAGGGAGCAAGCUCCCCGUGCUGCCGCUCGACUUGCAUGUGUUAAGCCUGCCGCCAGCGUUCAAUCUGAGCCAGGAUCAAACUCUGA
rnacentral:rRNA from 1 species